rnacentral:rRNA from 1 species
UGCCAGCAGCCGCGGUAAUACGUAGGGAGCAAGCAUUGUCCGGAAUUAUUGGGCGUAAAGGGUGCGUAGGCGGUUUUGUAAGUCAGAUGUGAAAUACCCAGGCUUAACUUGGGAGGUGCAUUUGAAACUGCAGAACUUGAGUAAAGAAGAGGUAAGUGGAAUUCCUAGUGUAGCGGUGGAAUGCGUAGAUAUUAGGAGGAACACUAGUGGCGAAGGCGACUUACUGGUCUUUUACUGACGCUGAGGCACGAAAGCGUGGGGAGCAAACAGGAUUAGAUA